CCCCCUCCCCCUCCCCAACCUCUUGAAGAAAUGGCACUCACUCUCCAUCUCCAACAAAAAUCAGCCCCACAACAUUAGAAGAAAAAAAAAAGCAGCCGAAACAUUAGCAAAAGGCUUUUCGAAAAACAUUGUUCAACAGUUUUCUUUAAGCAAAAGUCAAGAGAAAAAGUAGUUCCUUUUUUUGGAAUUCAACCUCAAAUAUUUCGAGUUCUGGGUUUAGAUUUUCGGGUUCAUUUUGCUGGCUAUCGCACAAAGUGUUGUUGCAUUUGCUGUUAAUCCUUGCUGCAAUCGAUUGUUUAAUAGAACGACAGAUUUCUUCAUUGUUGAUUUUUCUGCAACUAGGUUGGAUAAUUUACCAAGACUUGCGUCUUGCAUAACCUUUUGUAUAUGGGUAAAAUCGAGCUUGCCCGAUUUUGCCAUUAUUUCGAGAUCAGAGAACUGCAUUGAGGGACAGCCUCGUAAUAGGCUAGGCCUGAGCACGAAGACAAGGUACCGAGUUCGGAGAUCUACGUACCAAAAGAGAUCGAGGUCCCCGACGAUCGAGACCAGAGUUGAUCAACUUCGAGCGGAACGCAAUAACGGAAAGGCAAAAUAUCUGUGACCGGUCGGGGGGCAUGGCGGAAAUCUCGGAAUGGAUCAAAUUAAGGGCGGUUAUUUGUAUCAAUCAUGGGAUUUACUUCCGCAAUUAGAAUUGUACCACAAUUAGGAUUCCUCUAGUAUAUAAAGAGGGGCCCCAUCAUUUGUACACACCUUACAUUUAUACAGAUCAAGACAAUAUAAUAUUUCUCUAUUGUUCAUCGGCU